rnacentral:tmRNA from 2 species
GGGGCUGAUUCUGGAUUCGACGGGAUUUGCGAAACCCAAGGUGCAUGCCGAGGGGCGGUUGGCCUCGUAAAAAGCCGCAAAAAAAUAGUCGCAAACGACGAAACCUACGCUUUAGCAGCUUAAUAACCUGCUUAGAGCCCUCUCUCCCUAGCCUCCGCUCUUAGGACGGGGAUCAAGAGAGGUCAAACCCAAAAGAGAUCGCGCGGAUGCCCUGCCUGGGGUUGAAGCGUUAAAACGAAUCAGGCUAGUCUGGUAGUGGCGUGUCCGUCCGCAGGUGCCAGGCGAAUGUAAAGACUGACUAAGCAUGUAGUACUGAGGAUGUAGGAAUUUCGGACGCGGGUUCAACUCCCGCCAGCUCCACCA